CUACGGAGGGUGCAAGCGUUACUGGGAAUCACUGGGCGUAAAGCGCGCGCAGGCGGUCUUUUAAGUUGGAUGAGAAAGCCUACGGCUCAACCGUAGAACUGCAUCCAAAACUAUUAGACUAGAGUGUGGGAGAGGAAGAUGGAAUUAGUUGUGUAGGGGUAAAAUCCGUAGAGAUAACUAGGAAUACCAAAAGCGAAGGCAAUCUUCUGGAACACUACUGACGCUGAGGCGCGAAAGCGUGGGGAGCAAACAGGAUUAGAAACCCGAGUAGUCC
rnacentral:rRNA from 1 species